CUGACUCUCCUCGGCGCCGCGGCGGAGCCGAGCUCUGCCCUACCCCGUCCCAAAACACGGCAGGUGCUGCUGCUCCCGCUGAAGCGGAGCAGGGCUUGGCCUGCCUCCUCCUCCGCCUCGGAUCAGCGGGCCAGUGAAACGGAGAACGGAGCGUGAGAAAGGGCAUCGCGCGAUGGGUAGACAAGAUGGAAAAGCGCACGCUCUGUCUUUGUAUUGUUAAUAUCCGCUACUAGUCUGAAGUGCCAUUCAUUUCAGUGGGUCGACUCUAAGCAGAACGCAAGUUGGAUGCAGCCCUCUCUAGGGUGUGCAUCAGAACUAUCUUUGUUUAUAUUGUAAAGCGGAGGUUGGCUGAAGAUAGUUUAGGAUUUCCCGGUAGUUCUUUGGAUGGUUCUGCAAUAGAUCGGCAAGGAUUUCUGACUCCCAAAUGCCUUACAAUAGCAACGAAGCCGCUUACCCUAUCUCCAUUAGAAUGCAGAAAUUAAUAACUCCAUUAGAGUGCAGAAAUUAAUAACUAUAAGUAGUAAUAAAACUGGAGGUUCUGCGGGAGAGCUUUUUGUGUGGCAGGACCGCUCUCGGAAUGAAUUCCUGGGCUCAGCAACACUGUGUUUGGAUCAUGUUGAUGACCUCCAUUUGCACCAGGCCACCCUUGGUAGAUCUCAGGAUAAAAACACAACUAGAUGCCAGAAACUGUCCUUCCCCCUUAGAAAACCAGGGGCGUGAGUGACACUAUAGGCAUAGGGUCAAAAUCGUAAACACAGUACUGAAGCCUUCCCACAAGCUGUUGCCCACCAUCUCCCAUCAGCCCCAGCCAGCAUAGCCACUGGCCAGGAAUGCUCCUAGUUUUAGUCCAAACAACCUGAGGGCAAUAGGCUUUUACCUCAAGGUGCUAAUGCAGUUUCGUGCGUGUGUAUCCAGACAUAAAUCCUGUUGACUUGGGUACGCCGAGUUUGUGAAAACGCCUUGGGCAGCUGCCUAAGGGUGCAAUCCCAUGUAUGCUUAGACAGAAAGUCCUUCAACUUUGGGCAUAUUGUAGGAUUUUUUUCUGGCUAAAUAUGUGUGGGAUUGUACCUUUAAAGUGAUGGUGCUCUAAAAAAGCAAAUAAUUAGGGGUCCCCCACCAUCCCAAUAAGCUUGUGGGAAAUGGUCACUUUAUUUUGCAGUGUGCAUUGCACGGAUGACUUGUCCAAUGUACAUGACUCAAGAAAGGGCUUGCGUUUAAUGUGCCCCCAUUCUGGUUUAUGGGCAGGACAUGCAGGCAGCAAUGGAAGGGUUGGUCAGCAAGUCUAGAGUCUCCUGUGCAAGGUGCUAAGGCAGAACUUCCAAACAGGUAAAGAAAAUAUCUUUAAAUACUUUGAUGUAGGUUCAGAGUACAUUUUCCCUCUGCACCAACUAACUAAAGAACUUCCAUGACCCAGGAAUUAGAUGAAAAGUCCCAAGAUAGCAAGUUAUGAUUGCCAGUCAGACAAGCCUCUGUCUGGUAUGUCUUUCUGGGUAAAUAUACUGCAAGGCUCUGAUGUUACUUUGCUGUAAAUAGCUAGUAAGAGCUGCCCGAAAAAUACAGCUUUGCUGCAGCACUUUCGAUAAGAGCAUAACAAACUCCACCAUCUGUGAUGACAAGAAGUUAUCAGAAGCAUGCACAUUACAGGAGGAAAACGCAGAUGUAUAAAACUAAUUUUCAGCAAGCGUCCUACAGCAAUAGAGGUUACAGUAGAGUUAUAUACCCAACAGUGGAAAAGUUGCACAGACAUCUGUCUUCUUGUCUCAGCUUGAGGAGCAGAUCUGCACUAAAAACACAGGAAGGCUUCAUCUUGCUAGUUUAAGUACUACUGGAAUCUCUGGGGAGUGAAAGAGUCUCAGACAGACUGGAACCUGUGGUUCUCCAAAUGUUGGACUUGAGCUUCCAUCAUGCCCAGGCAACAAAACCAAUGCAACAUUGAGUAAAACCGAAACGGUUCCUAAGAAUAAACAAUGCAACUCCCUCCAAAGAAUUUGUCAGGGAGAGAAUCUCAUACGAGUCUGGAGUAAAGAACUCUUGCAAAAUGUUCUGCUUUGGGUGGUCUGGUGGAAGGCAUGGAAGCAACAUGGCCGAAACCCCAAACUGUUCAUAGGUCUGGCUGUGGACAGGUGGCACCAUUCCACACAGAUGCUCAUAAACUGCCUAUUGUUAUUCAAGUCAUCUUAACAGGUGAGUGAACUGUUGGACUGUAGUAUUCCAGGUAGGAAACGCUGAAGAAAUAGCUUGACCUGCUUUGACCCCCUGGUGGUUCUAGGGGGAGCAGAGUUCUCCUGGUUGUCAGCCAUGGCAAUGGUAUCCUUCCACAUCACAUCACUGGAAUGGCGCUAAGACAGUAGGGAAGAUCUAUUCCAACAGGUGGCUCUCUCCUGUGGCUUCUGGUUUGUUGGAUGUCAGAAGAGUCUGGCUUGUCUGUCUUGCUAUUCUGCCCUCUACAUGAAACUAGGGGGUAAAGCCAUCUGGAGAUUUGGACGGGAUUGUCCUUGGUCUGCUGCCAGCCCUUGGCUUCAACUCCCAUUUACAUCUUCUGAACAAAGGGCAGCACUGAACGUCCUGUUUGACAUCAGCUUCGGGUUGGAUGAGUUAAAACAAGCUGUAAUCAUCUAAACACAACAGAGAGGCUGCUGUUGAUGAUGCAGGAGGAGACACACACUCCGCUUCAGAUACAAAUUCCCCCUUAAAAUCAGGCUGCCCACGUGGCAGCAGUGGCCAAGAGCAUCAGUUGCCACAUGUGGCUGGUGUUCCAACUAUCAGCUUACAGACAUCAGACUUCAUUUUCUUCAUUAAUACCCUAGUCCUACUCAGGUUAGGUUACUGUAAUGUGGAUAGUUUGCAGGCUGUUUUGAAAACUGGUGUUGGUCCAAAAUGCACCUGGCGUGGUAGUAUUCCAGACUUUCAAAUCAGAGCAUGGAUUAGGCUGAUGCUAGGCCAUCUUCAUUCUUAAUCUGAUUCCUUUCUGGUUCCAUUUGAAGUCCUGAUUUUGACUGUUAAACCAGCGAAGACAAUAACCCCUUUCACCCACAGGAAUCUGCUAAUACCAUGCUGUGUUCUGCUGUCAGCAGAAGUAUAGCAGACAGCUAGAGAGCCAAGGCCAUUUUUGGUGCUGUGCAAGACUGCAUCACUAUCACGAGAGAGCCUGGUUCUCGCUCUGCUCACCUUUUGACAGGCAGCAAAGUGUAUAUUUUGCUGUAUGCUUUUUUGAAUGCUUCUUAUGCAUAGAUUUUUUUUUAAAAAAAACUAUCAAAUACUACUUUUUAUAUAGUAUUUUAUACAGUUGCACUGAACUGGUAUUACAUCACAUUUAUAGCCCCCUAUUUCCCUCACAGCAUGUUUUACUUGUACAACAAUCUUGUGAGGUAGGCGAAGCUAAGAACCCAUGACUGGUCCAAAGUCAGCCAGUAAACUUCAUGGCCAAUUGGGGACUAGAAUCCGCAUCGCCCAGAUCCCCAGUCCAACACACCACGAUGCCACACUGGCUGUGGGUAGAAACUGGACUCUAAUUUUUAUAUAGGUACUUCUGCUCUUUUGACUGGAAAGGCAGGACACAAAUGUCUAAAUGUCUGCAGGCUAAAUGUCCUACUGUGCAUGGAAGUGCUUGAUAUGUUGGACUACAACUCCCAUCAGCCCCAGCCAUCAUGGCCAAUGAGCAGAGGGGUGAUGGAUGCUCCAGUCCAAAGUAUCUAAAGAGCAACAUGUUGCUCAUCUCUGAAGUAGCUGGACCAAAACUUCUCAGGCUCCCAGUCCCGUUACACAGAUCAUUUUGCUUCGAAAUGCUAGGGCCUACGUACACAACAUGCUGACAAACUGCAGGUUCCUCCCCACUGUACUUCAUAUUGCUAGCCAGAAUAUUCUGAAAAUCCAAGCUGCAGCAUUACAAGGAUGAGAAAAAGACCUGGGAAUCCCAAACACAAAAGCACCCCCUCUUCCACCACAUCAUCUUUGAAAUCCUUCACCAUUAUAUCUGAAUGACUUGCUGCAUUAGGGAUGCAUUGUUGUCUAAACAUUAGGCUUUUUCCACAUUGAGUGUUCGCCUUCUAGAAAUUUGGCAUAGCAAGAGUGUGCAUUUUCAAAGAAAAUCGGAGAUGAAUUAGGGAAGCUAUUUGCUUUUGUUCUCGUAUUAAAAUAAUAAAAGGUCCUUCAUAACUGCUGAAGGCGGCACUUCCCCAGACAAUGUUCCAGUUAAGUGGAUUUGCUGGAAGUGCUUAUACUUGCCUUCCCAACACUGUGCUACUGUCAGCAUAUUUUCAGAAAUGAUCAUUUUGUGUAUCAGAGGAAAGAAUAAGGCCUGCAAAAAAAAAAAAAAAAAACCCUCUAGGAUUCCAAGUGUCACCUGAGAGGAACUUAAAUAAAAAUCAGAGCCAACAAUUUUAAAACACUACACUGCUGAGUGUCAACUUGCAAACCAGGAAAAAUGCAAGGUGCAAAUUUUGUUUCUGCAAGGAAUCCAAGAGGUGAAUCCUCAGCCCUUCCUCAUGCACCCGAUGAGGACAAAUUUACACUUAUAAGGACUUCUACAGAGGUACUGGGUGGCUAUAAAUACUCUAUAAAGCAUGGUAUAAAUUCAAAUUUAGACCCUAUUAAGGCUGGCAGUUGGGCCUAUGAGGCCAUUACAGAAAUGGAAGGGCAUCCUCAACAUCCUGCUUUGCAUCUACUUUACGCAAAAUAUUGGAAAGUCAGGAAAACACAAAGCACACAUUCCCAAGAAUGUCCUGAUGAAGAUGUAGAGAAAUUGUGUACAUGGGUUAUGUGUGUGUGCAUGGGGGGGGUGAAUAUGAAAACAUGUUUUUACUCUGUUGUGAAGAAAUAUUCCCAAAAUUUUACUACUGCAACUCCAGAACACUGGAAUUAUUUCAAUAUGUCUAGAAAAGCUUAAUUCUAAAUUAAUCCUGCUGUUUUCAAAAUGUUAUUGAGCACUCUUUCAUUCUUCUGUCAUAAGGUGGGCUGAGAGGAAAACUAUUUGCUCAGAAGCAAACUUGACUAGUUUCAAGGCUGCUUUCUACCAGCACAAUUACUGCUGAAGUGUCAACCUCCAAUGCCACUAACACCUUCACUGCAUCCAAAAAUAAGCCACCUGCUAUUAGAAUGAACCCAUCUAAUUGCUCUUACAAAUAAAAAUGCUUUUUCCACCA